rnacentral:rRNA from 1 species
UACGUAGGGUGCAAGCGUUGUCCGGAAUUAUUGGGCGUAAAGAGCUCGUAGGCGGUUUGUCGCGUCUGCUGUGAAAACUCGGGGCUUAACUCCGGGCCUGCAGUGGGUACGGGCAGACUAGAGUGCGGUAGGGGAGACUGGAAUUCCUGGUGUAGCGGUGAAAUGCGCAGAUAUCAGGAGGAACACCGAUGGCGAAGGCAGGUCUCUGGGCCACUACUGACGCUCAUGCACGAAAGCGUGGGGAGCAAACAGG